rnacentral:rRNA from 1 species
GACGAACGCUGGCGGCGUGCUUAACACAUGCAAGUCGAACGGUAAGGCCCUUCGGGGUACACGAGUGGCGAACGGGUGAGUAACACGUGGGUGAUCUGCCCUGCACUUCGGGAUAAGCCUGGGAAACUGGGUCUAAUACCGGAUAGGACCACUGCCUGCAUGGGGGGUGGUGGAAAGCUUUUGCGGUGUGGGAUAGGCCCGCGGCCUAUCAGCUUGUUGGUGGGGUGAUGGCCUACCAAGGCGACGAGGGGUAGCCGGCCUGAGAGGGUGAGCGGCCACACUGGGACUGAGAUACGGCCCAGACUCCUACGGGAGGCAGCAGUGGGGAAUAUUGCACAAUGGGCGCAAGCCUGAUGCAGCGACGCCGCGUGAGGGAUGACGGCCUUCGGGUUGUAAACCUCUUUCAGCACCGACGAAGCGCAAGUGACGGUAGGUGCAGAAGAAGGACCGGCCAACUACGUGCCAGCCGCCGCCGUAA